GACGUAGGGUGCGAGCGUUGUCCGGAUUUAUUGGGCGUAAAGAGCUCGUAGGCGGCUUGUUGCGUCAGCUGUGAAAACCCGCAGCUCAACUGUGGGCUUGCAGCUGAUACGGGCAGACUUGAGUACUGCAGGGGAGACUGGAAUUCCUGGUGUAGCGGUGGAAUGCGCAGAUAUCAGGAGGAACACCGGUGGCGAAGGCGGGUCUCUGGGCCUGUACUGACGCUGAGGUGCGAAAGCGUGGGGAGCAAACAGG
rnacentral:rRNA from 1 species